GACGAACGCUGGCGGCGUGCCUAAUACAUGCAAGUCGAACGCAGUUUCGAACGGGUGAGUAACGUGUAGGUAAAUGCGUGGUAGCGGGGGAUAACAAUUGGAAAAGAUAGUUAAUAACGCAGACUACAAGCUGGAACUGAUUUGUAUUAGGUAGUUGGUGGGGUAACGGCUCACCAAGGCAACGAUACAUAGCCGACCUGGGAGGGUGAUCGGCCAAACGGGGACUGAGACACGGCCCAGACUCCUACGGGAGGCAGCAGUAGGGAAUCUUCGGCAAUGGACGGAAGUCUGACCGAGCAACGCCGCGGGAGUGAAGAAGGUUUUCGGAUCGUAAAGCUCUGUUGUAAGAGAAGCGGUAUCUUACCAGAAAGGGACGGCUAACUACGUGCCAGCAGCCGCGGUAAUAC
rnacentral:rRNA from 1 species